AUUGAACGCUGGCGGCAGGCCUAACACAUGCAAGUCGAGCGAGCGGCGGACGGGUGAGUAAUGUCUGGGCAACUGCCUGAUGGAGGGGGAUAACUACUGGAAACGGUGGCUAAUACCGCAUACCAUCAGAUGUGCCCAGAUGGGAUUAGCUAGUAGGUGGGGUAACGGCUCACCUAGGCGACGGUCCCUAGCUGGUCUGAGAGGAUGACCAGCCACACUGGAAUUGAGACAGGGUCCAGACUCCGACGGGAGGCAGCAGGGGGGAAUAUUGCACAAUGGGGGCAAGCCGGAUGCAGACAGGCCGCGUGUGUGAAGAAGGCCUUCGGGUUGUAAAGCACGUUCAGCGGGGAGGCGUUACCCGCAGAAGAAGCACCGGCUAACUCCGUGCCAGCAGCCGCGGUAAUAC
rnacentral:rRNA from 1 species